rnacentral:rRNA from 1 species
UACAGAGGUCCCGAGCGUUGUUCGGAUUCACUGGGCGUAAAGGGUGCGUAGGCGGUUUGUCGCGUCUGCUGUGAAAACUCGGGGCUUAACUCCGGGCCUGCAGUGGGUACGGGCAGACUAGAGUGCGGUAGGGGAGACUGGAAUUCCUGGUGUAGCGGUGAAAUGCGCAGAUAUCAGGAGGAACACCGGUGGCGAAGGCGGGUCUCUGGGCCAUUACUGACGCUGAGGAGCGAAAGCGUGGGGAGCGAACAGG